GCGAUGAAAGACGUAGUAACUUGCGAUAAGCCCAGAUUAGGUAGUAACAGCCAUUUGAGUCUGGGAUUUCUGAAUGGGGAAACCCACUUACAUAAGUAAGUAUCCUUACCUGAAUACAUAGGGUAAGGAGGCGAACCGGGGGAACUGAAACAUCUAAGUACCCCGAGGAAAAGAAAUCAACCGAGAUUCCGAAAGUAGCGGCGAGCGAAAUUGGACUAGCCCUUAAGCUUUACACGCGUUAGACGAACGGUCUGGAAAGUCCGACGAUACAGGGUGAUAGUCCCGUAGUUGACGACGUGUGUUCAGUGAAAUCGAGUAGGGCGGGACACGUGAUAUCCUGUCUGAAUAUGGGGGGACCAUCCUCCAAGGCUAAAUACUACUGACUGACCGAUAGUGAACCAGUACCGUGAGGGAAAGGCGAAAAGAACCCCUGUGAGGGGAGUGAAAUAGAACCUGAAACCGUGUACGUACAAGCAGUAGGAGCACCUUCGUGGUGUGACUGCGUACCUUUUGUAUAAUGGGUCAGCGACUUAUAUUCAGUGGCAAGGUUAACCAUCUAGGGGAGCCGUAGGGAAACCGAGUCUUAACUGGGCGUUCAGUCUCUGGAUAUAGACCCGAAACCAGGUGAUCUAGCCAUGGGCAGGUUGAAGGUUGAGUAACAUCAACUGGAGGACCGAACCGACUAAUGUUGAAAAAUUAGCGGAUGACUUGUGGCUAGGGGUGAAAGGCCAAUCAAACCUGGAGAUAGCUGGUUCUCCCCGAAAGCUAUUUAGGUAGCGCCUCGGACGAAUACUACUGGGGGUAGAGCACUGUUAAGGCUAGGGGGUCAUCCCGACUUACCAACCCUUUGCAAACUCCG
rnacentral:rRNA from 1 species